AUUGAACGCUGGCGGCAGGCCUAACACAUGCAAGUCGAACGGUAACAGGAAGAAGCUUGCUUCUUUGCUGACGAGUGGCGGGCGGGUGAGUAAUGUCUGUGAAACUGCCUGAUGGAGGGGGAUAACUACUGGAAACGGUAGCUAAUACCGCAUAAUGUCGCAAGACCAAAGAGGGGGACCUUCGGGCCUCUUGCCAUCGGAUGUGCCCAGAUGGGAUUAGCUAGUAGGUGGGGUAACGGCUCACCUAGGCGACGAUCCCUAGCUGGUCUGAGAGGAUGACCAGCCACACUGGAACUGAGACACGGUCCAGACUCCUACGGGAGGCAGCAGUGGGGAAUAUUGCACAAUGGGCGCAAGCCUGAUGCAGCUAUGCCGCGUGUAUGAAGAAGGCCUUCGGGUUGUAAAGUACUUUUAGCGGGGAGGAAGGGAGUAAAGUUAAUACCUUUGCUCAUUGACGGUACCCGCAGAAGAAGCACCGGCUAACUCCGUG
rnacentral:rRNA from 1 species